AAAAAUAUGGAAUGCUUCACGAAUUUGAGUGUCAUCCUUGUGCAGGGGCCAUGCUAAUCUUCUCUGUAUCAUUCCAAUUUUAGUAUAUAUGUUGCCGAAGCGAGCAC
rnacentral:snRNA from 1 species